GACGAACGCUGGCGGCGUGCUUAACACAUGCAAGUCGAACGGAAAGGCCCUGCUUUUGUGGGGUGCUCGAGUGGCGAACGGGUGAGUAACACGUGAGUAACCUGCCCUUGACUUUGGGAUAACUUCAGGAAACUGGGGCUAAUACCGGAUAGGAGCUCCUGCUGCAUGGUGGGGGUUGGAAAGUUUCGGCGGUUGGGGAUGGACUCGCGGCUUAUCAGCUUGUUGGUGGGGUAGUGGCUUACCAAGGCUUUGACGGGUAGCCGGACUGAGAGGGUGACCGGCCACAUUGGGACUGAGAGACGGCCCAGACUCCUACGGGAGGCAGCAGUGGGGAAUAUUGCACAAUGGGCGGAAGCCUGAUGCAGCAACGCCGCGUGCGGGAUGACGGCCUUCGGGUUGUAAACCGCUUUCGCCUGUGACGAAGCGUGAGUGACGGUAAUGGGUAAAGAAGCACCGGCUAACUACGUG
rnacentral:rRNA from 1 species